rnacentral:misc_RNA from 1 species
GAUGAAGAACGUAGCGAAAUGCGAUACGUAAUGUGAAUUGCAAAUUCAGUGAAUCAUCGAGUCUUUGAACGCACAUUGCGCCCCCUGGUAUUCCGGGGGGCAUGCCUGUCCGAGCGUCAUUGCUGCCCUCAAGCACGGCUUGUGUGUUGGGCCUCCGCCCCCCGGCUCCCGGGGGGCGGGCCCGAAAGGCAGCGGCGGCACCGCGUCCGGUCCUCGAGCGUAUGGGGCUUCGUCACCCGCUCCGUAGGCCCGGCCGGCGCCCGCCGGCGACCCCCCUCAAUCUUUCCAGGUUGACCUCGGAUCAGGUAGGGAUACCCGCUGAACUUAAGCAUAUCAAUAAGCGGAGGA